UCUAAUAUGGCAGAUAAGUGCAAUAGAUUUAAGCUCUAUAUAUAAGGGUAUUCCUUUUAUUAGUA
rnacentral:tRNA from 1 species